rnacentral:rRNA from 1 species
UUUGAAAAUAAUUUAAAGUAGGGCCUGCCCACUGAGUAAUUGAAGGGCCGCAGUAUUUUGACUGUGCAAAGGUAGCAUAAUCAUUAGUUUUUUAAUUGAAAGCUUGUAUGAAUGGUUUGAUGAGAAAAUAGCUUUCUAUAUUUGAAUUUUUAAUAAUUUUAUUUUUAAGUUAAAAAGCUUAAAUUUUUUUAAUAGACGAGAAGACCCUAUAGAGUUUAAUUUUUGUAUAAAUUUAAAUUUAUGGGAUUUUUUAAUUUUAAUUUAUAAAAGAAUUUGAUUGGGGUGAUUGAAAAAUUAAAUAAACUUUUUUUAUAUAUUUACAUUAAUUUAUGAAUAUUUGAUCCAUAAAAAUGAUUAUAAGAAUAAAUUACCUUAGGGAUAACAGCGUUAUUUUUUUUUAGAGUUCUAAUCGAAAGAAAAGAUUGCGACCUCGAUGUUGGAUUAAAGUUAAUCUUAGGUGCAGAAGCUUAAGAAUUUGGUCUGUUCGACCAUUAAAACUUUACA